rnacentral:rRNA from 1 species
AUACGUAGGGGGCAAGCGUUAUCCGGAUUUACUGGGUGUAAAGGGAGCGUAGACGGUUCUGCAAGUCAGGGGUGAAAUCCCGGGGCUCAACCUCGGAACUGCCUUUGAUACUGGGUGUCUAGAGUGUGGAAGAGGUAAGUGGAAUUCCUAGUGUAGCGGUGAAAUGCGUAGAUAUUAGGAGGAACACCAGUGGCGAAGGCGGCUUACUGGACUGUAACUGACGUUGAGGCUCGAAAGCGUGGGGAGC